rnacentral:rRNA from 1 species
AGAUGGCGACCGGCGCGCGGGUGAGUAACACGUAUCCAACCUGCCGAUAACUCGGGGAUAGCCUUUCGAAAGAAAGAUUAAUACCCGAUGGCAUAAUAGAACCGCAUGGUUUGAUUAUUAAAGAAUUUCGGUUAUCGAUGGGGAUGCGUUCCAUUAGGCAGUUGGUGGGGUAACGGCCCACCAAACCUUCGAUGGAUAGGGGUUCUGAGAGGAAGGUCCCCCACAUUGGAACUGAGACACGGUCCAA